UUUAAACAUAAUAUGUUGAUUUAUCUAUUUUAAAUUUAUUUUAUGCCCUCAGGUUGCAAAGGGGAAGGUUAUUUUUAGGACAUCACUAUCAUUUAUCUCGAAAACAUCACCAAGGCAAGGAAUCAUGCCUAUCUCAUGCUCUGUUAACGAAGCCCCACCCCCAAAAUGGCCUGCGCUUUUAUACGUCCACCCAAGGCAGAUCGAAUCGUUGGCUUCUCCAUUUUUCCGAAAACACUUCCGGUGCCCUUCCAAAUAAUUGCGAUUGUGUUGUCCUACUCCUGUACUUAGA
rnacentral:lncRNA from 1 species